rfam:Gossypium hirsutum cultivar TM-1 unplaced genomic scaffold scaffold2526.1, whole genome shotgun sequence
GAUUAAAAUCAUCAUCUAUUUUACUGUUAAAAACUGGCAUGAUUGACGGACUAACCAGACAAUUACACUUAAGGUGUCAUGUAUACUUCAUGUCGAUGUACAAAGACUUAUUUUUAAUAGUAUAAAUGAGUAAGAUUUUAACA